rnacentral:snoRNA from 1 species
CCAACGUGGAUACCCCAGGAGGUCACUCUCCCCAGGCUCUGUCCAGGUGGCACAGGGGAGAAAAGGGCUCUGCCCAAUGAUGUACAGUCCCAUUCCACGACGCUGGAGAGGAAGGUGGGCCUCAGGCCCGCAUCUGCAUAUUCCUACAGCUUCUCAGUCCUAUAGACAAUGCCUGAAGAGACAAACCAUGCAGGAAACAUAU